rnacentral:rRNA from 1 species
GNGGCUANACUGCAGUCGAGCGGUAGAGAGAAAGCUUGCUUCUCUUGAGAGCGGCGGACGGGUGAGUAAUGCCUAGGAAUCUGCCUGGUAGUGGGGGAUAACGUCCGGAAACGGACGCUAAUACCGCAUACGUCCUACGGGAGAAAGCAGGGGACCUUCGGGCCUUGCGCUAUCAGAUGAGCCUAGGUCGGAUUAGCUAGUUGGUGAGGUAAUGGCUCACCAAGGCGACGAUCCGUAACUGGUCUGAGAGGAUGAUCAGUCACACUGGAACUGAGACACGGUCCAGACUCCUACGGGAGGCAGCAGUGGGGAAUAUUGGACAAUGGGCGAAAGCCUGAUCCAGCCAUGCCGCGUGUGUGAAGAAGGUCUUCGGAUUGUAAAGCACUUUAAGUUGGGAGGAAGGGUACUUACCUAAUACGUGAGUAUUUUGACGUUACCGACAGAAUAAGCACCGGCUAACUCUGUGCCAGCAGCCGCGGUAAUACAGAGGGUGCAAGCGUUAAUCGGAAUUACUGGGCGUAAAGCGCGCGUAGGUGGUUCGUUAAGUUGGAUGUGAAAUCCCCGGGCUCAACCUGGGAACUGCAUCCAAAACUGGCGAGCUAGAGUAUGGUAGAGGGUGGUGGAAUUUCCUGUGUAGCGGUNAA